UCCGGGCGGGCCACAAGCACCUUGGCUUGAAGGCCCGGGACCAUUCCUGACAAGGGUGACUCUCAGGCUGGCCAGGUCACAACCAGUGUUACCCAAGUCCCUGCCUGGGUCCCAGGAGAUGCCACAGGAAGACCAACGCCACCACUGCCUGGACAGGGGAGUCUAGAGACCCGGGAAGAAGAGCAAGUGACCACCCCCACCGACGUGCUGGUGACCCUGGGCCCCCCAGG